GUAUGUUUGAAAAACAUUAGCAAAGGCAAACUCAAUGAUGUCACGUGUAAACGAUUGGAAACGGUUUGUGAGGGCUUUGCUCUACUUCCUCUUUGUACUAUAGAUAUACAGAUAAUUCAGAAGACUGUGGUUAUAAGCUGCAUCACAAACCAAAAGAGAUAGGACUCUGCAAUGCAGCGCAUUUUGAUAUUCAUUAUUUCUUGGUGUUGGAUAAAUUAUUUAAACAUUACUUGGGCCAGUCCUUGUAAAACCACUACUAGGAGAGUUGAGUCAUAUCAGAAGAGGGAAUGCACACGUUGGUUUUUGGGAUGGUGUACCCAGUAUACGUGGAUCUGGAGAUACAGGAAGACCUUCACCCAAACUUGUUGUCCUGGAUACGGUGGAAGUAACUGUCAACGUAAGUAUAGUAACAAAUUGCUGUUCUUUAACAAAUGAC